rnacentral:lncRNA from 1 species
UUGGAAGCCAGGACAUUCCAGCUCUAUAUUAUGCCACAGACCAUCUGACCAGAAAGUUUUAAGCAUAAAAUUUAGACUUUAGCAUGCAGAGACGUGACCCUACUUGAAUCUGUGUUAUGCUGCAGAAUAGAAAUGGAGCAACCCUUUUUCUAACUUCAAAAUUUACUUUUCAAAUAGUAUUUCAUCUUUGCGGGAAGAAAACUUUUCUGAGGAUUAAAAAGAUGAAAAUCUGCCCACAGCGCUUUUAACAUCUUUGCAUACACUCUAGAAAAAAAUCUGCAUUUAUUCUUUCGAGUUAUGCUUCAUGUUUGUAAUUAACCUUGGAGAUUCGGAGAUGCUCCAUGAAGUUACAAAAUAGAACAGAAUCAUAAAUACAUGUGUCCAUUAACUCAGGAAAAAUGCAAAGCAAUGAACAGGCUUUGGUCCUUAUUAUCGCUUCUCCUACCAGCAAUAUUGUUUACUUCUCAGCUAUAUCUUCUCCCUGAUUUACCAAGGGGCAUGUACAUAAAAGUAGGAUCUCAUCCCUUAUAUGGAGAGCAGUCAGCAAGUACCAGCAUGUUCUGAUGUGAGGAGAACAGCUAUUCCAUAAAUCUGAAACAUGUUCUGGACAACAGCAGAGUUUACACAGACCACAAGAAUUAUAGGAAUUAACUCCUCUUUUGUUUACAAUGUUUAAAAAGAGAGCUAGUGUAGAACCAGCAGUGUAAGGGGAUAACACAGCAGUGACAUGAUCCAACUCAAAGUACUGAAAUACAAACUAUGCACAUUUGGAAAUGUUUUGCACAUUCUAAAUAUAAAAGAAGAUUCUCCUUUUAUGUUUAAGUUCUCCUAAUUAGGAGGAGCUGAUUAAACAACUUAUCUGGAAAGCCAGUAAUGUAAACAAAAGCCUGCUUUCUGGAGCAGAGGUGUCAAGUUUUCUUCUCUUAGAGGGUUAUUUUAAUCCUUUAUGAUUGUUCAUCAACCAAGGUAAACAUGUCAGGCAGGAGAGUUACAAUUCACCACGGAUAAAUGGAUUUUUUCAAGAUCCACACUGAAGCAAGGUCCUUUACACCAUCCAAAUAUCUUUGUUGGGUAUUGGUUCACUGCAUUUAUAGUAGUGCUGUUUCUGUCAUCUUCAUCCCUUCCCAUUCCCUUCCACUCCUCCCCUCCCUUUUUCAUUGCAUUGUUUUUGCCCCUCCAUAAUUAUUCCUAAAUCCAUAACUCCAAUAUGUAUAUACAGAUGGAGCUCCUGAUUCCUUCCUCAUUCCACCAUGGACCAGGGAAAUGAGCAACAGCCCAAGCAAUAU